AGAACGAACGCUGGCGGCGCGCCUAACACAUGCAAGUCGAGCGCCCUGCUUUCGGGUGGGGAGCGGCGCACGGGUGAGUAAUGCGUGGGAACCUACCUUGGGGUUCGGGACAACGGCGGGAAACUGCCGCUAACACCGGAUACGGCCGAAAGGCGAAAGGUUACGCCCUGAGAUGGGCCCACGUCCGAUUAGCUUGUUGGUGAGGUAACGGCUCACCAAGGCUGCGAUCGGUAGCCGGUCUGAGAGGAUGAUCGGCCACACUGGGACUGAGACACGGCCCAGACUCCUACGGGAGGCAGCAGUGGGGAAUCUUGGACAAUGGGGGCAACCCUGAUCCAGCGACGCCGCGUGGGUGAUGAAGGCCUUCGGGUUGUAAAGCCCUUUUGUCGGGGACGAUGAUGACGGUACCCGGCGAAUAAGCACCGGCUAACUCCGUGCCAGCAGCCGC
rnacentral:rRNA from 1 species